rnacentral:rRNA from 1 species
ACGGAAGGCAGCAGUGGGGAAUAUUGCACAAUGGGCGCAAGCCUGAUGCAGCGACGCCGCGUGAGCGAAGAAGUAUUUCGGUAUGUAAAGCUCUAUCAGCAGGGAAGAAAAUGACGGUACCUGACUAAGAAGCUCCGGCUAAAUACGUGCCAGCAGCCGCGGUAGUACGUAUGGAGCAAGCGUUAUCCGGAUUUACUGGGUGUAAAGGGAGCGUAGACGGAACAGCAAGUCUGAUGUGAAAGGCAGGGGCUCAACUCCUGGACUGCAUUGGAAACUGUUGAUCUUGAGUGCCGGAGAGGUAAGCGGAAUUCCUAGUGUAGCGGUGAAAUGCGUAGAUAUUAGGAGGAACACCAGUGGCGAAGGCGGCUUACUGGACGGUAACUGACGUUGAGGCUCGAAAGCGUGGGGAGCAAACAGGAUUAGAUACCCUGGUA